GGAGACUCAGCAUUGCUACAGCUUGUUGCUAUUUAAGUGUGCUGUAGCAAAAGGAUUUAAUCAGGUGUGUCCUUAAAUAUUGCCUAUUAGUGUUUCCUCUUAUAUUAAGAUCUGAAUGUUUUCUAAGAAUUACAAUUUCCCAGCAGUUACGCAAAUGAGGUUAAAUCAUCACUUGCAACUGUGUAUAAAAAGCUCCGCUGUCAGUACUGCAUUACCACAAUCAUCCACAUCUCUGAGACAGUCUGCUGAAGUUGUGAAGACCUGACGGUAACAUUUCUCAUCAAUCUCUUAUUGCUUCUGUGUUUUCAGUGUAAUGUUGGUGGAAUGGUGAUUUUGCAGAUGGUUUUGACCACAUCUCAUCAGAAUUAUUGUUAACAGGUGAAAUAACUGAAACCAUGAUCAAGGUUGUGUUUCUGCUUGGAUGCCUGCUGAGCCUUGCUCUGGCAAAUCCUGUAAGUGUAGCACACGAGCGCGAUGCACGUUCUUCAUCUGGGGAGGGGACUAUUGGGACCCUAAAUCGUCUUACCCUGCUUUUACCUCUUCUACAGAAUCCAACACUUCUGCAGAAUUCAACACUCCUUGCAGCUAUUCUUGCUGCUAUACGAUAAGCUGCUUCUUAACCAACAGCUAUUACACCACAAAGGAUGAAUUGAAAAUGAACAAACAAUGAAUAAAAACCUAUGUUGAAUACCAUUGUGAAUUUCAUAAUUUAUUCACGCAGAUUGAAUUGCACUGGGAUUUAAAAAAAAAAAUAUUUACAGGAUUAUUGAGUGACUCGGUCUUACAAAGAGUUUAAAAAAAAGAUUAUUCUUGUUAAUAUGAAUAAAACCUCCUUGUUCAUUGCAGUUUCUCCCGAAUCAACCAGAUCAAUCAACAGAGUAUGCAUUAUCACAGAAUAUGUAGCAUAUUAAUAGAUACCUAUGUUUCUUAUAAACCAAACUGUAGAGAAAAGAUUAAGGCUUGCCUGGACAGGUAGGCAAUGAGGCGCUGACCACAGACUGCAUCGGGUGGGUUUAAGCAUUGGGGGGGAGGGUGGACACUCCAACUCGAGAGAGAGUGUCCUUUCACCCAGUUUAAGCAAAAGUCAACAAUCCCCUAGCCGACACAGGUGACCUUGAGGAAGUAGGAGGAUAGCGUUGUUCCUGCUUCGGCCUUGGUCUUGGCUUCCAGCUGGCGAGGGGGGACUGCACAACACCACAAUAUUGCUACAGUCCACUUCAUUCUGUAAGAUAGUAUGCAGUAUGCUGAUACUACACUGCUUUUCUAUACUAUAUAUAUUAUAUACUAUACUAUAUAUUAGGACACAGUUUAGGACACUGACGUAGCAUAGUCUCUGUUAUAGUACGCACACUGUUCACUGUUAUAGUAUAUUCAGAGCACUACGCUUCCACUGCUGUAAAUAUAUUAAUAGUACUCUGUCGAUCUGUUUACCACACCUCGAUAUAUCUGUAUACAUGUAGCACAUUUGUAUAUUUUUUCAUAGUACAUCUGUACAUCUGUGCUUGCCUGACUACCAUAGGACUCAGAUUCUUUAGUUGUUCUGCCCCAAGACUUUGAAAUGCACUUCCACCAGAUCUCCAGACCACAAAGUCUUUCACCACUUUUAAGUCACGUCUCAAAACCUAUCCAUUUAAAAUUGCAUACACCUGAUUCUGUCUUAGUCCAUUUUUACGUUGCUCAGCUUUUAUACUUGCUUUUAUACUUUCAUGGUUUUUCUCUCUCUUAUUUACCUUAUGUCUAAAUUUUAUUUUGCCAUGUUUUAUUAUAUUGUAUUGUUUGCUAUUGUUCUCGUGCUAUUGUAAGGUGACCAUGAGGGUCUUAAAGGCGCCUAGAAAUAAAAUGUAUUAUUAUUAUCAUUAUUAUUAUUAUUAAUAUAUCUUCCCAUCUGUAUAGCAAUUUAGAACAUCUGUAUGUUACACAGAUCAUCUGUAUAUCUGUACAUAUGCUUAUAUCAGUACAUCAGUAUAUUUGUUCUCUGUAUAGCAAUAUAAACAUCUGUAUACUUAUUUGUACAUAAUCUGUUCAUAACUAUUCCCACCUUUUAUACUACCCUUAUAUGUAUAUAUCUGUACAUUUGUCCAUGCAAAUUGUAUUUCGUUACCCUGUAUUUACACAUAUUCAGUGACAAUAAAGUUUGAAUCCUAUCCUAUCCUACCCUAUAUUAUAGUGAUUAUAGUGAUACUCCUUCCUUUUUGGGGGAGAACAAGGU
rnacentral:lncRNA from 1 species